rnacentral:lncRNA from 1 species
UUUAAGGAAGGAAAGUUUGAAAUGCUUCAAUAUUUAGUAGGAAUCUAUAUGUUGGAAAUCUAACUUCAAGUUGUGUUGUUAGCCUACUUUUUCAAAUAUAUCUCACCUUGUCUAAGCAAAUAUAUAACUCUAUUUAUGACAGAUUCAACUUGUGGCUUUUCAUUAUCUCUAGCAACUUGAGAAAGCAUAGUCCUUUCAAUGCUUCAACUGUCAAUGUCAAUGAGUCAAUGCUGACCUAUGAAGUACAUACGCUUCUCGGCUUAGACGUGCCCCAUGGUAAGAUAUGCGUGGUGUUCGACACCGACACAUAUUAUUACAUUGAAUUAUGUGAUUUUCUUAAAUUAUUAUUUAGGUCGGUAUGUCAGUGUCCGGUGUCCGUGUCUGUGCUUAAUAGAUGCUAACACAGAUGGUGAUAUGCAGGUUUUGGAUAGCAUGAAGGUUAAUGAUUACAUUUGGGAGUACCUUGAGUUUGGAGUGGUGAUGAAAGCAUAUAGUGUCUUUACAGAUGCAAG